AGUGGGAUAACUGGGUCAAAUGGUGAUUUCACUUCAAGUUUUCUGAGGAAUCUCCAUACUGCUUUCCAUAAUGGCUGCACCAAUUUGCAGUCCCACUAGUACU
rnacentral:pre_miRNA from 1 species